UACAGAGGUCUCAACCGUUGUUCGGAUUCAUUGGGCGUAAAGGGCGCGUAGGUGGCCUUUUGAGUCAGACGUGAAAUCCCCCGGCUUAACCUGGGAACUGCGUCUGAUACUGGAAGGCUUGAGUUCGGGAGAGGGAUGUGGAAUUCCAGGUGUAGCGGUGAAAUGCGUAGAUAUCUGGAGGAACACCGGUGGCGAAGGCGGCAUCCUGGACCGAAACUGACACUGAGGCGCGAAAGCCAGGGGAGCAAACGGG
rnacentral:rRNA from 1 species